rnacentral:rRNA from 1 species
CAUGGUCUUAGCUUGCUAAGACUGAUGGCGACCGGCGCACGGGUGAGUAACACGUAUCCAACCUGCCUUACACUCUUGGACAGCCUUCUGAAAGGGAGAUUAAUACAAGAUGUUAUCAUGAGUAAGCAUUUUCGCAUGAUUAAAGAAUUUCGGUCAUCGAUGGGGAUGCGUUCCAUUAGGUUGUUGGCGGGGUAACGGCCCACCAAGCCUUCGAUGGAUAGGGGUUCUGAGAGGAAGGUCCCCACAUUGGAACUGAGACACGGUCCAAACUCC